rnacentral:rRNA from 1 species
ACUGAACGCUGGCGGCAGGCUUAACACAUGCAAGUCGAGCGGGGUGAGGUGCUUCGGUACUGAUCCUAGCGGCGGACGGGUGAGUAAUGCUUAGGAAUCUGCCAUUUAGUGGGGGACAACAUUCCGAAAGGAAUGCUAAUACCGCAUACGUCCUACGGGAGAAAGCAGGGGAUCUUCGGACCUUGCGCUAAAUGAUGAGCCUAAGUCGGAUUAGCUAGUUGGUGGGGUAAAGGCCUACCAAGGCGACGAUCUGUAGCGGGUCUGAGAGGAUGAUCCGCCACACUGGGACUGAGACACGGCCCAGACUCCUACGGGAGGCAGCAGUGGGGAAUAUUGGACAAUGGGCGGAAGCCUGAUCCAGCCAUGCCGCGUGUGUGAAGAAGGCCUUUUGGUUGUAAAGCACUUUAAGCGAGGAGGAGGCUACCUGGAUUAAUACUCUAGGAUAGUGGUCGUUACUCGCAGAAUAAGCACCGGCUAACUCUGUGCCAGCCGCCGCGGUAAUAC